rnacentral:rRNA from 1 species
AUUGAACGCUGGCGGCAGGCCUAACACAUGCAAGUCGAGCGGAUGAAGGGAGCUUGCUCCUGGAUUCAGCGGCGGACGGGUGAGUAAUGCCUAGGAAUCUGCCUGGUAGUGGGGGAUAACGUCCGGAAACGGGCGCUAAUACCGCAUACGUCCUGAGGGAGAAAGUGGGGGAUCUUCGGACCUCACGCUAUCAGAUGAGCCUAGGUCGGAUUAGCUAGUUGGUGGGGUAAAGGCCUACCAAGGCGACGAUCCGUAACUGGUCUGAGAGGAUGAUCAGUCACGGUCGGACUGAGACACCGUCCAGACUCCGACGGGAGGCAGCAGUGGGGAAUUUCGGACGAUGGGCGAAAGCCUGAUCCAGCCAUGCCGCGUGUGUGAAGAAGGUCUUCGGAUUGGAAAGCACUUUAAGUUGGGAGGAAGGGCAGUAAGUUACUACCUUGCUGUUUUGACGUUACCAACAGAAUACGCACCGGCUAACUUCG